AGUGAACGCUGGCGGUAGGCCUAACACAUGCAAGUCGAACGGCAGCACAGUAAGAGCUUGCUCUUACGGGUGGCGAGUGGCGGACGGGUGAGGAAUACAUCGGAAUCUACUUUUUCGUGGGCGAUAACGUAGGGAAACUUACGCUAAUACCGCAUACGACCUACGGGUGAAAGCAGGGGAUCUUCGGACCUUGCGCGAUUGAAUGAGCCGAUGCCGGAUUAGCUAGUUGGCGGGGUAAAGGCCCACCAAGGCGACGAUCCGUAGCUGGUCUGAGAGGAUGAUCAGCCACACUGGAACUGAGACACGGUCCAGACUCCUACGGGAGGCAGCAGUGGGGAAUAUUGGACAAUGGGCGCAAGCCUGAUCCAGCCAUACCGCGUGGGUGAAGAAGGCCUUCGGGUUGUAAAGCCCUUUUGUUGGGAAAGAAAAGCAGCAGGUUAAUACCCCGCUGUUCUGACGGUACCCAAAGAAUAAGCACCGGCUAACUUCGUG
rnacentral:rRNA from 1 species